rnacentral:rRNA from 1 species
GAUGAACGCUGACAGAAUGCUUAACACAUGCAAGUCUUUGGCGAAGCUGUGCUUGCACAGCCUAGCCAAGGCGGACGGGUGAGUAACGCGUAAGGGACUUGCCCUGCAGUCAGGGAUAACAGACGGAAACGACUGAUAAGACCUGGUAAAGUCAGGCGGACUCAUGUCCAGCCUGAUGAAAAGGAAUGCUGCAGGAGAGCCUUGCGUCCUAUUAGCUUGUUGGUGGGGUAACGGCCCACCAAGGCGAUGAUAGGUAGCCGGCCUGAGAGGGUGGACGGCCACAAGGGGACUGAGAUACGGCCCUUACUCCUACGGGAGGCAGCAGUGGGGAAUAUUGGACAAUGGGGGCAACCCUGAUCCAGCAAUUCUGUGUGCACGAUGAAGGUCUUCGGAUUGUAAAGUGCUUUCAGCAGGGAAGAAAAAAAGACGGUACCGCA